GAUGAACGCUGGCGGCGUGCCUAAUACAUGCAAGUCGAGCGAACGGACGAGAAGCUUGCUUCUCUGAUGUUAGCGGCGGACGGGUGAGUAACACGUGGAUAACCUACCUAUAAGACUGGGAUAACUUCGGGAAACCGGAGCUAAUACCGGAUAAUAUUUUGAACCGCAUGGUUCAAAAGUGAAAGACGGUCUUGCUGUCACUUAUAGAUGGAUCCGCGCUGCAUUAGCUAGUUGGUAAGGUAACGGCUUACCAAGGCAACGAUGCAUAGCCGACCUGAGAGGGUGAUCGGCCACACUGGAACUGAGACACGGUCCAGACUCCUACGGGAGGCAGCAGGAGGGAAUCUUCCGCCAUGGGCGAAAGCCUGACGGAGCAACGCCGCGUGAGUGAUGAAGGUCUUCGGAUCGUAAAACUCUGUUAUUAGGGAAGAACAUAUGUGUAAGUAACUGUGCACAUCUUGACGGUACCUAAUCAGAAAGCCACGGCUAACUACGUG
rnacentral:rRNA from 1 species